rnacentral:lncRNA from 1 species
UGGUUGUCGUUUGUUUAUGUGUUACAUAUUUGUUUUUCGUUCAUUUUUUUUACAUAAAUAAUGCCGUUAGUUUUCUCGUUUGAAUUGUUUUACAUUGUCUUAUCGGGGACUAUGCGGUAUGGGCUUUGUUCAUUGUUGAAUGCCGUAUGGUGAUCUAUAGUUGUUAAUGUUUGUGUCAUUUUGGUCUUUUGUGGGUAGUUGUCUCAUUGAAAUCAUACCACAUCUUCUUUUUUAUAUAAUAGAUAAACAAUGAUAUCUGCAAACAAUAUGUGAUUUAAACUGCGUAAUUGAGUGGACCGCAUCAAAUAAAACUCGGGUGUUUGUUUAUUUUGCUAUCUUAUGCAGACUGAAAAAAGUACACAUCAAAAUCAAGGUAAGUUUUCUAUUUUCUUAAACGUAGACUACAUAUAACUUUUAUAUAUAUGUAGUUCCUACCAUGCCUUAAAUUUUUCCUAAACAUAUUCCUUUGUCUGUAUUCAUAGUAAGUUUUGAGUUGUAAACACGGCCAUAUUUUUC